rnacentral:lncRNA from 1 species
UUUAAACAGCGGUGCAACACCCCCACAUUUCCCCCCUAUUUCCUUUCUUAUUUCCAUUUAUUCCCCCAAUUAUUUUCCCCUAUUUCCCCUAACAUUGCCCAUUAUUUCCCCUUAUUUCCCCCAUUAUCCCCCAUUAUUUCCCCUAUUUCCCCCUUAUUUCCCCCAUUCCCCCAUUAUUUCCCAUUAUUUCCCCCAUUAUCCCCCAUUAUUCCCCUAUUUCCCCAUCAUGAUUCCCCCAUUCCCCCUAUUUCCCCCAAUAUUCCCAUUAUUGUCCCCAUUAUCCCCAUUAUUUCCCCUAUUUCCCACUUUCCCCCAUUAUUUCCCCAUUUUCCCCAUUAUCCCCCAUUAUUUCCCCUAUUUCCAAUCAUUAUUCCCCCCUAUUCCCCUUAUUUCCCCCAUUAUUUUCCCCAUUUCCCCCAUUAUUUCCCCCAUUUCCCCAUUAUUUCCCCCCAUUUCCCCUAUUUCCCCAUUUACUUUCCCGCCAUUUCCCCUGUUUUCCCCCAAUUAAUCCCCCAUUUCCCUCCAUUAUUUCCCCAUUUCCCCCCUACUUCCCCCUUAUUUCCCCCUUAA